ACUUGCAUUAGCAAAGCCCCGGUAACCCUGCAGCAUUCACAGGCUGGAAGCGGCGGGCUGGCAUUUUCAUUUCACCAUUUGGAGGAAAUUCUGGAGCUAAACGGUUGGACGUUCCCUUGUGAAGAGAGAACCAGAAGGGAGAGUAAAAGGAUGGUUCUCUGGGUUCCUAAGAGAUGGGAAUGUUUCCACUUUUUCUCCAGGUUUUCUGCGGAAGGCAGUAAGAUGCUCCAGAGAAUGUUUGUGGAAAGGACAAAUGAACGGGGAAGCAGAUGAAGGAAAAGGACAAAAAGAAACUGAGAAGCCACCAAUGCAGGAAUUGUCAUAAAUAACUAAUUUAUUUACUUUUUUAAGUAGGCUCCAUACCCAAUGUGGAGCCCAACCUGGGGCUCAACGCACAACCCUGAGGUCAAGACUUAAAAUCAAGAGUUGGAUGCUUAACUGACUGAGCCACCCACGUGCCCGGGGGCAUUCUUCAUAUGCUUUGGAUAUAAAUCCCUUCUCAGAUGGAGAAAUUGAGGCUCAGUCCAGAAACCCUUCUCUCUACCUAAGACUGAAUGUUCCAAGGGAGCAGGUUUAAUUAACCCACAAGUCUUUUGCUAGAGAGAGAAUGAGAGAGAGCAUGAGAGGGGAGAAGUUCAGAGGGAGAACCAGACUCCCUGCAGAGCUGGGAGCCAAACGCAGGACUCGAUCCCAUGACUCCAGGAUCAUGACCUGAGUCGAAGGCAGUGGCUUAACCAACUGAGCCACUCAGGCGCCCCUUGAAUCUGACUAUUUAACCCAGACUUGGAAGAGGAUUUCACAGCCACUAAAGAAAAGGGGGCAACUUCCUGUCUCUUAUGAACUAAAAGCUCACAUAUAUGGAAGCAGCCUGCCAGUCAACUGAAAGAGCUCUCCCCCAUUCUUCCUACGAUUCAACAGACCCACAGAUACCAAUGAGCUCCUGUCAACAAAUGGUAUUUACCAUGGUUCAUAAAGUCAGUUCGUGACCAGAAUGUGGAUUGGUAAGUCUCUAACGGCAUUUGUUAACCAAGGAAUACACUGGUCUUUUCCUGAGACGCAACAUCAACAAUAAAAACUACUGGAGAAGCUGUUCGUACUCGAGACUGUCGAGCUCACAGGAAACACCCACUGUUCAGGAAUCAAAGUGUGAUUGGUUACUCCGUUUGCCUCCUGUCAUGGUCCUCGAGGACCACGAAAACAACUCUUCUGCACUUCCCGUCAGCCACGUGUGUGUCCAUGAUCCCAACAAAGCUCUGUAUCUCACCUCAUGGAGCAAAUUAGCCAAAUGAUGAUGUAGAGGUAGCUGAGUCCAUGAUGAUGCAGAUCGGACAAAAUGGGGGGAUCUGGAGAAAAUUCUGUGACCCUUCAAAAAAAAAGUGGUCUAUGAAAUGAUAGUUCCCGUGGUUACAAAGGGUUAUACGUGGGCUCAGAGAAUUAAGAGAAUUGAUCAAAGAAUAAAUGAAAGGCCUGGAUAUGAAUGAGGGAUAUGCCAGAUCACUCUGCCUCCCAGAAUUACUGGCAAUGGGAGAGGGAAUUCGCAGGGAAGAAGACUGCCAACUAUGAGAAAGCAUGAUGAGCGAAGUUCUAAAUUAGCACUCUGGUUAAUUUUUCUGGGGAGAUAAGUGUUUGUUAUUUGAGCAAGACAAUGUCCUUAUUAAAAUUGCCCAAAUGUAAACAUACCCUCAAUAGAAGUCAACAAACGUCCAGACGGAUGAAGUUCAAAUGAGGAAAGUCAAACAUGGGAUCAUUUACUGAUUGUUACCAACUAUGCUUAAGGAAGGUGAGAAGAUUCGGAGCCACAUUUAUUACUAGAUUUAAUGACACAGCUUCCUUUCCUGUCUCCCCUACCGCAUUCCAGAUUCCUUCAGGAAGAUGCUGGGUUGUGAACUGUCCUGUGGAGAGACCCAUAUGGCAAGGAAGAGAUGGUGACCUCUGGCCAAUGACCCACAAAGAAUGGAAAACUACCAACCACCACUUACGUGAUUUUGGAAGCUAAUCUACCUUCAGCUGAGCCUUGAGAUGACUGCAGCUUUGUGCAGAACCCAGAGCCAGAGGACGCUGUUAAGAUGUUUCUGGAUUCCUGACCCACAGAAACUUCAAGAUAAUAAACGCUGCUAUUUUAAGCCACUUUUAGUGGGAUAAUUUGUUUCGCAGCAAUAGGUAACCAAUACAGAAUCCCAACCCUGGAUAUUUGUCUUAAUCUAAGAAAUAUUGUCAGUUUAAAAACUGAACGGUUUGGUUGAAAUCUGGAAGUAACCUUCUCUGUAGACAGAGAACUCUAAAUCAGAAUUAAAAAUGGGAUAAUGCAAUUAAUAUCAAACCUUUUCAUUUAAAAGGCAUUUUGACAUCAAUUUAUUUUAAUUUCCUCAUUUUUAAUUUUUAAAAAAAUUUUUUAAAUUUCAUUUUUUCAGUGUUCCAAGAUUCACUGUUUAUGCACCACACCCAGUGCUCCAAGCAGUUUGUGUCCUUCUUAAUACCCACCACCAGGCUCACCUAUAAUUUCUUCAUUUUGAUUCAACAAAGACAUGAUAGGUUUCCCUUUCACUUUACUUAUUUUUAGCACUUUCUUUUUAAAAAGUUGUAUCUGCACAUGCGUAUUUAGAAUGUGUCAAAUUAAAGACAGACUGCCUAGAUAAAAUUGGGCAGAUGAUGGGUUGAAUUAUAACAUAGAUUUAUAUCUUACAACAUUUAAACCAACAUUGGUUUGGUUUCCAUAACUGAUGUCUGCCAAAAAUCUGUCCUCCCUGCUUUCAUAGAAAUGUAGUUGAAUCUGGACAUAGGCUGCCCUGCUAGAGAUGACAUUUCCAAGCCUGUCUUGGGACAUAUGACUUUGUUCUUACUGAUGGAGCACAGGCAGCUGCUCAGGAUACUCACAGAUUUCAGAUGUGCCCAUAAUCCAGCUUCAAUCAUGCAGAAGAAGAAAGUGGCCUUGG